CCUACGGGAGGCAGCAGUGGGGAAUUCUGGACAAUGGGCGCAAGCCUGAUCCAGCCAUGCCGCGUGCGGGAAGAAGGCCUUCGGGUUGUAAACCGCUUUCGGCCGGAACGAAAUCGCCCGGGUGAACAUCCCGGGUGGAUGACGGUACCGGAAGAAGAAGCACCGGCUAACUACGUGCCAGCAGCCGCGGUAAUACGUAGGGUGCGAGCGUUAAUCGGAAUUACUGGGCGUAAAGCGUGCGCAGGCGGUCUCGUAAGACAGGUGUGAAAUCCCCGGGCUCAACCUGGGAACUGCGCUUGUGACUGCGAGGCUGGAGUGUGGCAGAGGGAGGUGGAAUUCCACGUGUAGCAGUGAAAUGCGUAGAGAUGUGGAGGAACACCGAUGGCGAAGGCAGCCUCCUGGGCCAGCACUGACGCUCAUGCACGAAAGCGUGGGGAGCAAACAGGAUUAGAUACCCUGGUAGUCCACGCCCUAAACGAUGACGACUAGUUGUUGGGGUAGAAGUACCUUAGUAACGCAGCUAACGCGUGAAGUCGUCCGCCUGGGGAGCACGGUCGCAAGAUUAAAACUCAAAGGAAUUGACGG
rnacentral:rRNA from 1 species